AUGAGACACAGCUCAGGUAUGAAAAUAAAUGCAUAAUUAAAUACAUAAUGCAGGUAUCUAUAGUUAUAUUAUAUUCAGUAUUCUAUUAGUUCAACUGCAUUGGUGAUUCACUUGAAGAACCAGACUACAACAUUUUCUCAGAGGAGUCAAUGAAAGGAAGCUUCAUUCUCUAACUCAUUUGCUGCUUCAUCGGUGUAAUUUUAUUGUGUAUAAACACAGUGUCUCUGCAGGUCACAGUAGAGGGUGUUAUUGGCCGUUCUGUUGUCCUUCCAUGUUCUUCCAAAGAUGAUCAUAAACUUCAAGACAGUGAUGUGCAUUGGAGACGCAAUAAUGAUGAUAUUAUAUAUAGUAUAAUCAAGGGUAAAGAUUCAGAAUUGGGACAGGACCCACAGUACAAGAACAGAGCUGAAACGUUCCCAAAGGAAUAUAAGAGAGGAAACUUCUCCAUCAAACUCAACAAUCUUCAACACACAGAUGCAGGAAAAUACAUCUGUUACAUCACAUGCUCAUCUGAUCUUCAUACUAUUCUGUUGCUCAUCAAUGAAUCAACAGCAGAAAAAGGAAACAAAUCCAUUGAACAAGAAAGCCAAGGAGAAGACAGUGUGAAGAAUCCAUCCCCUGUCCUUCAUCGGACAAGAUAUGCUACUAUCAUUGCCUUUGUAUUACUUGUAAUUGCCUGUUUCUUUUAAGAAAAAGAAUUCAAGCUGCCUAAUUUUCUUCUGUCAUGACAGAAGAACAAGCAGCAGUGAUAUAAAUGACAAACAGGUCCAAAACUCACUUUUCACUUUCUGUAACAUUUGUGAUUAUUGUCUACUAGCUGAAUUGUUACAUCUUUCUUUGGUUCUUUCGUUUGGUGCUGUUACAUUCUUGCUGAAUGAAUUGCAUUGUUCUUAUUUUAUAACAGAAUGAGACUGAAAGAUAUAAUAAAAAAUGUUUUUGCUGUACCUAAAGGACAAACAAGCUGGUCAGUAUGUUCCUGAUUUAAUUCUGUGUUCUUUGAAUUAGUGAAAGAAUUAGUUCUUUGGUCAUGUAGUGUUUGCCAAUAUUAAAAUUAUUUUGUAUUCCUUAUGUAUUGUUUCAUGUUUAAAUUAGAACCACACAUUAUUAAUCAAAUGUGAUUUGUUCAUUCCUGA